GUUAUAGGGUCAAGCGAACAAGUGCAUGUGGUGGAUGCCUUGGCGAUCACAGGCGAUGAAGGACGCGGUAGCCUGCGAAAAGCCCCGGGGAGCUGGCAAACAAGCUUUGAUCCGGGGAUGUCCGAAUGGGGAAACCCACUCCUUUUGGAGUAUCCAUGACUGAAUACAUAGGUCAUGUGAAGCGAACGCGGUGAACUGAAACAUCUAAGUAACCGCAGGAAAAGAAAUCAACCGAGAUUCCCAAAGUAGUGGCGAGCGAAAUG
rnacentral:rRNA from 1 species